ensembl:lncRNA
UCGCUUUUGUUUUACAGCAGACCGUGCGUAUCAAAGUAUUGAAAAUCCAAUCUUUUCAUCUUUUCACAUUAAAAAACCUAUUUUUUAUUAUUUCCAGACAAAGAGUUGGUUUGCAGUGAAAGUAAAGAGGUGCAGACAGUCUUCCUCCCCCUUGGAAACAGCAGUUCAGACUUCAGUCUGCGUAUAACUGUGACUGUGACAAACGGCAGCCAAUCACUUAACACCACCUUCACAGUUCAAGUUAGUGAACAAAGAAGAAACUUUGAAUUUAAUCAGCUUGAGACUCCCUACAAAAUAAAGCGUUUUUGUUUUCUCAGGUUUUGGAUUUCACACCAAAACCCAACUCCAAUGAUAAUCUGCGCGCUGGAGUGGAGAAAGCGUUGGAGAAGCUAAAGAAAAGCGGUCGACUUUCAGGAGAAACCGUUGGACAAAUGUUUUCGUCUGUGGCCAAAACCCUACCCAACAAACCCGAUGCGUCAGAGCUCAGAGAGGAGAUGGUGGACGCAAUGGCCGACAUCAUCAGUGAGGCUCCUCCCAGCUCUCCAAAAGAGGCGGAGUCUGUAUGUGAAGGACUCACUGCUUUAGUCCAGGAAGGAGCUAAACUCCGUGUGUCUGUUCAGGUGUCUGCCUCCUCUCUGUUUGAGGACCUCAGCUUAUCUCUCAUGAACAUGAAUGUGAGCAAAACAGAAGAAGGCCGAAAGCAAAUGCACACAGCUGCCAGCGCCAUUGUGGAGGGAAUCAACAUCCUGCUGAUCAAUUCUGUCAUGAAGAAUGUUUCUGAUGCUCUUCUCGGUACGUUGAGUAACAUCCAGAGUGCACUGCUGAAACUGAAGGAGCCCAAUGAGGGACCGACUCUGAUUAACACAGAGCUCAUCAUAGUGCUGGUGAACAGGUGAGUUUCCUUAAAAGCUGUCACAUGAACAAGGAGGCAACAUUUCUUUUUUUAAAAGACCCUCUCAAAUUAUCUUUU